GGACUACCAGGGUAUCUAAUCCUGUUUGCUCCCCACGCUUUCGCGCCUCAGCGUCAGUAUCGGUCCAGAGCGCCGCCUUCGCCACCGGUGUUCUUCCCAAUAUCUACGAAUUUCACCUCUACACUGGGAAUUCCACGCUCCUCUCCCGAACUCCAGCCACCCAGUCCCAAGCGCCGUUCCCGGGUUGAGCCCGGGGCUUUCACGCCUGACUUGAAUGGCCGCCUACGCGCCCUUUACGCCCAGUAAUUCCGAACAACGCUCGCCCCCUUCGUAUUACCGCGGCGGCUGGCAC
rnacentral:rRNA from 1 species